CUACGGGAUGCACCAGUGCUGAAUCAUUCACAAUGGGCGAAAGCCUGAUGAUGCGACGCCGCGUGGAGGAUGAAGGCCUUCGGGUUGUAAACUCCUGUCAGGGUUUAGGAAUUUUGACCAGACCCAGAGGAAGCUCCGGCUAAAUUCGUGCCAGCAGCCGCGGUAAUACGAAUGGAGCGAGCGUUGUUCGGAAUCACUGGGCAUAAAGGGUGCGUAGGCGGUUUGGUCAGUCAGAUGUGAAAGCCCUCGGCUCAACCGGGGAAUUGCACCUGAUACUGCCAGACUUGAGGCUGUGAGGGGUGAACGGAAUUCCAGGUGUAGCGGUGAAAUGCGUAGAUAUCUGGGAGAACGCCAGAGGCGAAGGCGGUUCACUGGCGCAGUCCUGACGCUGAGGCACGAAAGCGUGGGGAGCAAACAGGAUUAGAUACCCUAGUAGUC
rnacentral:rRNA from 1 species